rnacentral:rRNA from 1 species
GACAGAGGUGCCAAGCGUUAGGCGGAAUCACUGGGCUUAAAGCGUGUGUAGGCGGAAUUGUAAGUACCUUGUGAAAUCCCACGGCUCAACCGUGGAACUGCUCGGUAUACUGCUUUUCUUGAGCCACUUAGGGGCUGUCGGAACAAGCGGUGGAGCGGUGAAAUGCAUAGAUAUCGCUUGGAACGCCGAAGGUGAAAACAGGCUGCUGGGGUUGCGCCGACGCUGAGACACGAAAGCCAGGGGAGCAAACGGG